AGACGAUCAUGGCUGGUUUAUAGUAACAGCACUGCAACCAAAAUAACGAGUGCAUCGAGUCAGAAUGACCCGCACCAAGUCGUGUGGAACGGCAAUCCUACAAAACUUUGUCCCAACUGUCAUCACGUCAUUGACAACAGAAGUUGAUGACUGGCCAGGCUUGCCUCAAGGUGUGAAAUUCGAUCCCUCUGAUCCAGAGAUCAUCUGCCAUUUGCUUGCAAAAUCUGGAUUGUUGGGUUUAAGCUCCCACCCUUUCAUUAAUGAGUUCAUCACAACUGUCAAUCAAGAUGAUGGAAUCUGUUACGCACAUCCUAAAAACUUACCAGUCUAGCCAUUUCAGUGAUCGUACCAGUUCUUCCAAGUUUUAUCUUAAUCCGAUUUUUUUUUUAAAACAAAUUGAGGCCUUAAGCACGACGGGACUGCGUCCUACUUUUCAAUAGAGCUAUCAAAACUUACAGCGCAUGAACUAACCAGUUGUAUUGGAUGGUGCGUUUAGUCACUGCCAUGGUAUCCAGUACAUGUUGGUCCAACACUACAAAACGUUGAUGCCUGCUUUUUAACUUUCCACUCUCUCCAACAACACCUCUUCUCUUUUUCUGCUUACUGCUAGAACCUUAUCUCCAGAGUGUCGUUGUGUUUAUCUUUUCGUACUCCAUUUCUUGAAGGAAAGUGAACGGUGUGCAAAACAUGCCUUUAAUGUCGAUGGAGAAGUCUCACGAGGAAGAGCAUUCGCACAUUUUCUUUCAGGUGGUUAUGUUUGACGUUUCAGUAAGUACAAGUAUGCUCAGCUAAUGAUUGCGAGCCGAAUGAGUUAUUCAUUCAUUGUUGUGCAGUUUUUUGCCUCAAGUUUUAGUAUUUUUCAUGAGCGAAGUGGCCUCAAUAUUUACAGUUCAUAAGAGCAGCUAGAUUUAACACCGAA